rnacentral:rRNA from 1 species
GACGAACGCUGGCGGCGGGCUUAACACAUGCAAGUCGAACGGAAAGGCCCUGAUUUUGUGGGGUGCUCGAGUGGCGAACGGGUGAGUAACACGUGAGUAACCUGCCCUUGACUUUGGGAUAACUUCAGGAAACUGGGGCUAAUACCGGAUAGGAGCUCCUGCUGCAUGGUGGGGGUUGGAAAGUUGCGGCGGUUGGGGAUGGACGCGCGGCUUAUCAGCUUGUUGGUGGGGUAGUGGCUUACCAAGGCUUUGACGGGUAGCCGGCCUGAGAGGGUGACCGGGCACAUGGGGACUAAGAUACGGCCCAGAGUGCUACGGGAGACAGCAGUGGGGAGUAUUGCACAAUGGGAGGAAGUCUGAGGCAGCAACGCCGCGUGCGGGAUGACGGCCUUCGGGUUGUAAACCGCUUUCGCCUGUGACGAAGCGUUAGUGACGGUAAUGGGUAAAGAAGCACCGGCUAACUACGUG